GAUGAAGAACGUAGCGAAAUGCGAUAAGUAAUGUGAAUUGCAGAAUUCAGUGAAUCAUCGAAUCUUUGAACGCACAUUGCGCCCCUUGGUAUUCCGAGGGGCAUGCCUGUUCGAGCGUCAUUAUAACCCCUCAAGCUCAGCUUGGUGUUGGGGCCUGCUGCACUGGCAGCCCUUAAAAUCAGUGGCGGCGCCAUCUGGCUCUAAGCGUAGUAAUUCUUCUCGCUAUGGAGUCCUGGUGGAUGCUUGCCAUCAACCCCCAAUUUUUCUAUGGUUGACCUCGGAUCAGGUAGGGAUACCCGCUGAGUUUAAGCAUAUCAAUAAGCGGAGGA
rnacentral:misc_RNA from 1 species